rnacentral:rRNA from 1 species
GACGAACGCUGGCGGCGUGCUUAACACAUGCAAGUCGAACGGUGAAGCGCCUUCCUUUUUGGUGGGUGUGGAUGAGUGGCGAACGGGUGAGUAACACGUGAGUAACCUGCCCCCUUCUUCUGGACAACCGCAUGAAAGUGUGGCUAAUACGGGAUAUUCUGGGUCUGUCGCAUGAUGGGUCUGGGAAAGAUAUUGUUUCGGUGGGGGAUGGGCUCGCGGCCUAUCAGCUUGUUGGUGGGGUGAUGGCCUACCAAGGCGGUGACGGGUAGCCGGCCUGAGAGGGUGGACGGUCACACUGGGACUGAGACACGGCCCAGACUCCUACGGGAGGCAGCAGUGGGGAAUAUUGCACAAUGGGCGCAAGCCUGAUGCAGCGACGCCGCGUGAGGGAUGGAGGCCUUCGGGUUGUGAACCUCUUUCGCCAGUGAAGCAGGCCUGCCUCGUUUGUGGGUGGGUUGACGGUAGCUGGAGAAGAAGCGCCGGCUAACUACGUG